GUUUGCUCAGCCGGGGUUUAAUCUCCAAAACAGGAAGGCUGCAGAGACAACUGUACUGAGCCUGCCAGGUUCAACCCCCGGCCUCCUCUUGCCUAGCCUCCAGUGCCCCCUCCUCCCGUAGCCCUGAGGCUGGCCUCAAGGCAGCCUUCUGUGACCUCUGCCCUGGCCCUCAUUGCCUCUGCUGCACCCCAGGCCUAAGGGUGGCACUUCAGGGAGAGGAGGACUCAGCCCUCUCCUGAUCCCGAGCAUCUGCUGAAUGGCUACUUCCCUGGGACUCCUGAGCGUCCAGUGGACAUAUUCCCUGAGGGCUCAUUACCCUAAGGAACAGCAGUCUGGGCCCCGGACAGACAGGGUCUGCUUUGAAGCCCGGCCUGGUGACCCCUCCAGACACAAGGGAGGGCCUGGGGACAAGCCAUGCUGAGGCCUUCCGAGGCAGCGGCUCGCUAGUAGGUCACAGGGGAGUCCUCAGGGUCACUUGGCUUGUACUGGGCAACCAUCAAACCCUCCCCUUCCUGAAACUGGAAUGUGAUGGAGAUGCUGGACCCACGUGCAAUGGUGGAGAUAGAAGGGGGACAAGGCACAGCCAGUCUUGCCGCUGGGACUCUCCUGAAAACGGAAUUCUACGCAGGAUCAGCAGGAUCCAAUAAAAGGGGUGUCAUGAGGGCACCUCAAGGAGGCCUGGGCAUGAGUGUGGGCGAGCGGCCACCAGGCCCUGGGCCAGCGAGGAGGCUGGGCUCCCAGCGCUUGCCCCCUCAGAUUGCCCCACCAGCCGGAAGCCGCCUCCUGCAGUGUGAUCACGCAUGCCAUGCCGGUGUCAACUCAGAUGAUCUUCCAGAGCUCUUUACAAGAUGUGGAAACUGAAAUUCAGCGGUCCUCCAGCCAGGAGGUGCAGCCAGGACUGGAAGCGAGGUCUGCGGGUCUCCACCUUCUGGGGGCUUCCUUGGCCCCCCAGCAGAGGCCUGGCAGCAGCUGCUCUGUCCCUCAGAAACCACCUGGGGGCUCAGCUUUCCUGUCUGUGAAAUGGAGUCCUGUCUGCCGGCAGGACUCCCAGGGCCAGGGAGGGAAGGACAGUGUCCCUGGACAUGGACAAAGGAGCUGAGGCCAGGUGUGCCUGGCCUGGUCUCAGGACCCCAGCUCAGCAGACACAGGUCAGGGCAGGCCCAGCCCAGCUGGCCUGCUGGCCAGAUCCCUCCAGGGCCUCUGUGGGGAGGUGGUGGGAACGGGCCUGCUCUCUGCCUCCCAGCCCCCACGUGCACCCCCCUGGGGCCUGGUCAGCGGCUCAGGUGUCCCCGCACAGCAGGUUCCUCGUCUCUUCUUGUCCUCGCCUCUGUGGAGUCUGAGGGAGGUUACUCCCCAGGGGCCACGGGCAGCUCUGUCCCUGCUGGUGAGGACAGCAGGCAGGCGGGGUGGCCGUCUGGCUGAGGGAGGGAGGGGCCAGUCCUGAUGCCAUCUCCUCCUGUCCCCCAGGAGGCGGGACCGCCCAGGUGUAUCCACAGGGACCUUCCCUGAGGCCCCUUCCCACGACCUCUGUGUCCGCCCCCCCCAUGGUGUCUGGGUCUAGGCUCUCUUAGUCUGUAGCCUGCUCGUCCAGUCUCAGGCCCUUGGGUCAGGCAAGGCCAGGGGACUGUGGCUGCAGCUUGCUGACUCUCCACACCAGCACCUGAGAGUCUGCUGUCUCUGUUGCCCAGUUCUUCUUGGCAGGUCAGGAUCCCCCAAUUUUACAGGCACUGAAAGGGAGGCUCAUUGUGUGUGUGUGUGUGGUGGGGGUAGUAGGGAGGCCCUGCCUGCAAACUGCCUGACAGCCACUUCUUAUCCACCGUGCCAAGCCUGUUUUGGAAUUGACAUUGGGACCUCCCUGGGAAACUGAGGCUGGGAGGGGUGACACUUUGCUCAAGGGUGUGCUUAUCUGCCUUUUGGAGCCAUAUUGUUGGAGCUUAAAUCUUGACUGUGCUGAGUGACCUCAGGUGAGGCACAUAACCUCUCUGUGCCCCUCCCCGCCUUUUGAUUCUCUCCAUGGCCCCCUGAUCUUCGUGGGGUCUGAGUCUGGCAGCACGGCCUGGUGGCUUUCAUUCAUCUGCAUUGCUGCAAGUUGGGAAACUGAGGCUCAGAGAAGGCAGAGCCCCGGACGAAGCCCAGCCUGGGUUUAGUGGGUGCUGAGGAGCUGGUGGGUGGACUGGGCCAGGGGCUGGGGGUGGAAGGAGGAAAGCAGAGCUGGGGGUGGGGCCUGGGGCUCCUGGGGCACAGAUCUGGGCCCUUUCCCAGAUGGGUGGGCCUGUUCUGACUCGCCGGCUGGGCUCCAGGCUGGGGGCGCCCACACAGCGGCAGAUCCCUGAGCCCCAGAGGGGCCUUUGCCAACCUCUGAGAGCAGCUGCCUGGCCCACUGCAGCUGCAGGAGGCUGGCAGCCAGUGGGGGCCGCUUCGGCUCACCUUCACCCCAACCAGGACCUGGGAGGGGGAGGCCGCCCAAGCCGGUGUCCACCCCAGGUGCAGAGGCCCCGCCCCUCCUGCAGGCUCUCUGCUUGCUGAGGAAGAUCAACCCAGGGCAUGGUGGGCUCAGGAGGCCUGGACCAGCACAUCUCCUCAUCCACUCACAGAUACUGUGUCACAGGCCCUCGCUGGGUGCCCCUGGGCAAGUCUCUUGCCCUCUCUGAGCUGCGAUGCCUUCCAUUUGGCAGAGAAGUGCCACCCUCACGACUGGUCAGCUGAGAGUCUCCAAGAGGGCACAGGCUGGGGGCAGCCACCCGCCCCCUACUGUGCAGCCAAUUGCAGCUGCAAGGUCGGAGCUUCCAAGGUCUCCCCAGAGAGUUCCAGAAUCCCAGUCUUCCCAAGCCCUUGGGGGAGAGGCUGCCCGCCUGUGUUCCGCUGCCUUCUUGGGGCUCCUGAUAAUCCUUCCCCACAGUGGGGUGCAGGGGUGGGGGUCUUGCUGCUCCAUCUCCUGAGAGGCCCUGUGAAGGUGGUGUCCCCCUCCUGAGCCCCUGUGACUGAGGAACGGAAGCUGCCCCAGGGGGCUCUCUCACCACAACCCACCCCUGAGUUUUGACCCUCCUGCUGUCCCCACCUCCUAAGGACUGUCGCCACAUGGGGGCCCAUGAGUUCAUCUCACAAGGUCUGGGGAGGCCUCGGAGCUCUGUCAGGAGGCCCAAGUCUGAUCAGCAAGGCUGGGGUGGUCUCCCCACUGGACAGCCAGGCUCUGCCUUCCAGGGGCCUCAUUAGCCUCGGGCUGGGGCUGGGGUGGUGGUAGAGCGCUUGCCCAACCCUGGGCCCCAUCCUCAGCACCAGCUAAUAGUAAGUAAAUAAAUAAAAUACAGGUCUGUGGUCCAUUUACAGCUAAAAAUAAAUAAAUAAAUUUUAAUUAAA